rnacentral:snRNA from 1 species
GUAACCUCUUGACCUUUUGGCUAAGAUCACAUGUAGUAUCUGUUCUUAUCAGCACAAUUUUAGAAGACAAGAAUAACCUGCAUACUACUUCUGAUAAAUAUACUUCAACACAUUUUAGUGAUGAAAACAAU